AUUGAACGCUGGCGGCAGGCUUAACACAUGCAAGUCGAGCGGUAACAGGAGAAGCUUGCUUCUCGCUGACGAGCGGCGGACGGGUGAGUAAUACUUAGGAAUCUACCUAGUAGUGGGGGAUAGCUCGGGGAAACUCGAAUUAAUACCGCAUACGACCUACGGGAGAAAGGGGGCAGGUUACUGCUCUCGCUAUUAGAUGAGCCUAAGUCGGAUUAGCUAGUUGGUGGGGUAAAGGCCUACCAAGGCGACGAUCUGUAGCUGGUCUGAGGGGAUGAUCAGCCACACCGGGACUGAGACACGGCCCGGACUCCUACGGGAGGCAGCAGUGGGGAAUAUUGGACAAUGGGGGCAACCCUGAUCCAGCCAUGCCGCGUGUGUGAAGAAGGCCUUUUGGUUGUAAAGCACUUUAAGCAGUGAAGAAGACUCUAUGGUUAAUACCCAUAGACGAUGACAUUAGCUGCAGAAUAAGCACCGGCUAACUCUGUGCCAGCCGCCGCCGUAA
rnacentral:rRNA from 1 species